rnacentral:rRNA from 1 species
GACUGCUAACACCGGAUAUGGUGGUAUCGAGGCAUCUCGAAGCCAUGAAAGUUUACACUGAAGGAUGAGCCCGCGUCCCAUUAGCUAGUUGGUGAGGUAAUGGCUCACCAAGGCGACGAUGGGUAGCCGACCUGAGAGGGUGAUCGGCCACACUGGGACUGAGACACGGCCCAGACUCCUACGGGAGGCAGCAGUAGGGAAUUUUCGGCAAUGGGGGAAACCCUGACCGAGCAACGCCGCGUGAGGGAUGAAGGUCUUCGGAUCGUAAACCUUUGUCUAGAGGGACGAUAAUGACGGUACCUCUGGAGGAAGCCACGGCUAACUACGUGCCAGCAGCCGCGGUAAUACGUAGGUGGCGAGCGUUGUCCGGAAUUACUGGGCGUAAAGGGCGUGUAGGCGGCCUUUUAAGUCAGACGUGAAAUCCCUGGGCUUAACCCAGGAACUGCGUUUGAAACUGAAGGGCUUGAGGACCGGAGAGGGCAGCGACUCCGCAGGGAG